rnacentral:sRNA from 1 species
GUGCGUCUUAAGCCUCUUGCUUUCUUACUGGCUUUAACACAGUUGUUUCCUUACUGCUAUCAAGGGAGCAGGCCCCAAGCCCACCUGCUGCCCGUGAGAAGGGCAAGGAGCAGCAUUCCCAGGCCGAGGAGCUGGGCCCUGGGCAGGAAGAGGCAGAGGAUCCUGAGGAGAAGGCGAUCCACAGAGCCUGUGGCUCCCCCAGAGCAGCUCUCAGAGGCUGCACUAAAGGCCAUGGAAGAGGCAGUGGCCCAAGUACUCGAGCAAGACCAGAGGCACCUGCUGGAAUCAAAGCAAGAGAAGAUGCAGCAACUGCGGGAGAAGCUGUGCCAAGAGGAGGAAGAGGAGAUCCUCCGGCUUCACCAGCAGAAAGAGCAAUCUCUCAGUUCCUUGAGGGAGCGGCUGCAGAAAGCCAUUGAGGAGGAGGAGGCCCGGAUGAGAGAGGAGGAAAGCCAGAGGCUAUCCUGGCUCCGAGCUCAGGUCCAGUCCAGCACACAAGCAGAUGAGGACCAAAUCAGGGCUGAGCAAGAGGCUUCCCUGCAGAAACUGAGAGAAGAGUUGGAGUCUCAACAGAAGGC